rnacentral:tRNA from 1 species
GAAUGUAGCUCAGUGGUAGAGCACAUGCUUAGCCUGCAUGAGAUCCUGGUUUCAAUCCCCAGUACCUCCA